rnacentral:lncRNA from 1 species
AUCAAACAGAAUCAAUUUAUUACAAAAGAUAAGAAAAUAUUUACCUAUGCAUAUACGUAUUAUCUAUUUUAAUGCUUAUAUUCUGCCAUUAUUUGAUUAUUGUUGCAAUAUAUGGGGAAGCUGUUGUGAAAGUGGAAUAAAUAAACUUAAUAAGUUAUUAAAGAAAUCUGCUAGGGUUAUAGUAGAAGCUGACAUAAUGACAUCAUCCAGUUUAUUGUUUAAUAGUUUACACUGGUUAAAUGUGGAAAAACGCAUUCAAUACCAAAAGGCAAUACUUGUAUUUAAAUCAUUAAAUGGUAUGGUUCCUAACUAUUUACAAGAAAAUUUUCAUUUUACUGAUAAUCAAAAUUAUAACUUACGUUCAGCUGAUGAAAAACUAUUAAAUCUUCCAAAACCAAA